rnacentral:rRNA from 1 species
GACGAACGCUGGCGGCGUGCUUAACACAUGCAAGUCGAGCGGUAAGGCCCUUUCGGGGGUACACGAGCGGCGAACGGGUGAGUAACACGUGGGUGACCUGCCCUCAGCUCUGGGAUAAGCCUGGGAAACUGGGUCUAAUACCGGAUAUGACUCCAUGACGCAUGUUGUGGGGUGGAAAGCCUUGUGCGGCUGAGGAUGGGCCCGCGGCCUAUCAGCUUGUUGGUGGGGUGANGGCCUACCAAGGCGACGACGGGUAGCCGGCCUGAGAGGGCGACCGGCCACACUGGGACUGAGACACGGCCCAGACUCCUACGGGAGGCAGCAGUGGGGAAUCUUGCGCAAUGGGCGAAAGCCUGACGCAGCGACGCCGCGUGAGGGAUGACGGCCUCGGUUGUAA